rnacentral:rRNA from 1 species
UACAGAGGUCUCGAGCGUUAGGCGGAAUCACUGGGCUUAAAGCGUGUGUAGGCGGAUCGUUAAGUACCUUGUGAAAUCCCACGGCUUAACCGUGGAAUUGCUGGGUAUACUGGCGGUCUUGAGCCACUUAGGGGCUACCGGAACAAAUGGUGGAGCGGUGAAAUGCGUAGAUAUCAGGAGGAACACCUGUGGUGUAGACAGCUUACUGGACCACUUCUGACGCUGAGACACGAAAGCGUGGGUAGCAAACAGG